CACGUAGGGGGCAAGCGUUGUCCGGAUUUAUUGGGCGUAAAGAGCUCGUAGGUGGUUCGGUAAGUCGGGUGUUAAACCCCCAGGCUCAACCUGGGGACGCCACUCGAUACUGCUGUGACUAGAGUCCGGUAGGGAAGCGUGGAAUUCCUGGUGUAGCGGUGAAAUGCGCAGAUAUCAGGAGGAACACCGGUGGCGAAGGCGGGUCUCUGGGCCGAUACUGACGCUGAGGAGCGAAAGCGUGGGGAGCGAACAGG
rnacentral:rRNA from 1 species